UCGGAACGUACCGUGUAGUGGGGAUAACGUAGCGAAAGUUACGCUAAUACCGCAUACGAUCUACGGAUGAAAGCAGGGGACCUUCGGGCCUUGUGCUAUACGAGCGGCCGAUGUCUGAUUAGCUAGUUGGUGAGGUAAAGGCUCACCAAGGCGACGAUCAGUAGCGGGUCUGAGAGGAUGAUCCGCCACACUGGGACUGAGACACGGCCCAGACUCCUACGGGAGGCAGCAGUGGGGAAUUUUGGACAAUGGGCGAAAGCCUGAUCCAGCCAUGCCGCGUGUCUGAAGAAGGCCUUCGGGUUGUAAAGGACUUUUGUCAGGGAGCAAAACUUACUGGUUAAUACCCGGUGAGGCUGAGAGUACCUGAAGAAUAAGCACCGGCUAACUACGUGCCAGCAGCCGCGGUAAUACGUAGGGUGCAAGCGUUAAUCGGAAUUACUGGGCGUAAAGCGUGCGCAGGCGGACUUUUAAGCCAGAUGUGAAAGCCCCGAGCUUAACUUGGGAAUUGCGUUUGGAACUGGGAGUCUAGA
rnacentral:rRNA from 1 species